CUUGACCAAAAAAAAAGACUUGAAGUAGUAAUUUGGAGCUUACAGACCUCACAGAUUCUGCUUAGCAAAAACUGAGUGCCAGAGAAAGAGAGAGGAGAUGGGGAUAGUGGCUAAGGCAGGGGAUUGGGCGUUCAAGGCAUUCACGGCGGGGCUGGGAGUCACCACCAUCUAUCUCACCGGCACUUUCUCUUUAAAUGUCUACAGAGGCAUCGCUUGGCACAAAGCUCAGCCGAAAAUCGAGUAUGAGGAUGAACAAGCCUCAUAAGUCUGAGCUUUCACAGCUGGCUGGGAUCCUAUUCUCUGGGAAAGUUGCAGCAUUGAUUUUUUCCUAUACGUUUUAUAUCUUGAUGUUAUAGAUCUCGGACCAAUUGGCUUUACUAUCCAGUUGUUAUGCGGAGCUUGGUGAUUUGGAUACGGCUUGUUGAAAUACUUCUCUAGCUCCAUUUUAAAGCUAAGAUCACAUUGGGACACCAAAGUUCUGAUCUGUUUGUUAUUAUCCAUUGUUGCAGUAAUAAAAACAAAGUUUUUCAUUUGUUUGAACAUUUCUGCGCAUCUGAGUAAUAUUCCACAUAUGAACUCAUUGCAUCAAUUUGAUUCCA